AGAGUUUGAUCCUGGCUCAGAUUGAACGCUGGCGGCAGGCCUAACACAUGCAAGUCGAACGGUAGCACAGAGAGCUUGCUCUCGGGUGACGAGUGGCGGACGGGUGAGUAAUGUCUGGGAAACUGCCUGAUGGAGGGGGAUAACUACUGGAAACGGUAGCUAAUACCGCAUAAUGUCGCAAGACCAAAGAGGGGGACCUUCGGGCCUCUUGCCAUCGGAUGUGCCCAGAUGGGAUUAGCUAGUAGGUGGGGUAAUGGCUCACCUAGGCGACGAUCCCUAGCUGGUCUGAGAGGAUGACCAGCCACACUGGAACUGAGACACGGUCCAGACUCCUACGGGAGGCAGCAGUGGGGAAUAUUGCACAAUGGGCGCAAGCCUGAUGCAGCCAUGCCGCGUGUAUGAAGAAGGCCUUCGGGUUGUAAAGUACUUUCAGCGAGGAGGAAGGCAUUGAGGUUAAUAACCUCAGNNAUUGACGUUACUCGCAGAAGAAGCACCGGCUAACUCCGUGCCAGCAGCCGCGGUAAUACGGAGGGUGCAAGCGUUAAUCGGAAUUACUGGGCGUAAAGCGCACGCAGGCGGUCUGUUAAGUCAGAUGUGAAAUCCCCGGGCUCAACCUGGGAACUGCAUUUGAAACUGGCAGGCUUGAGUCUUGUAGAGGGGGGUAGAAUUCCAGGUGUAGCGGUGAAAUGCGUAGNAGAUCUGGAGGAAUACCGGUGGCGGAAGGCGGCCNCCNNGACAAAGA
rnacentral:rRNA from 1 species